rnacentral:lncRNA from 1 species
UCAUCCAUACAUCUACCCAUCCAUCCAUUCAUCCAUUUAUUCAUUCCAUCCAAUCAUUCAUGCAUCUACCCAUUCAUCCAUCCCAUCCAAUUAUCAAUCCAUUUACCCAUUUAACCACCCAUCCAUCCACUGCAUAUCCAGAAUCUGUAAGAGUUCAACAGAUGGGGCUGAAGGGGAGCCCACUAGGAGGUGCAUCAAGCAAUGUACCUUUUUUUUUCUUUUUCUUUUUCUUUUUCUUUUUCUUUUUCUUUUUUUUUUUUUUUUGAGAUGGAGUCUCGCUCUGUCGUCCAGGCUGGAGUGCAGUGGUGCCAUCUCGGCUCACUGCAAGCUCCGCCUCCUGGCCUCACGCCAUUCUCCUGCCACAGCCUACCAAGUACCUGGGACUACAGGUGCCCACCACCACCCAUGGCUACUUUUUUGUAUUUUUAGUAGAGACGGGGUUUCACCAUGUUAGCCAGGAUGGUCUCAAUCUCCUGACCUCGUGAUCCACCCACCUUGGCCUCCCAGAGUGCUGGCAUUACAGGCGUGAGCCACCACUCCCGGCCGCAGUGUACCUAUUUUUAAAACACUAAUGAAGUUGGGGAAUAGAGAAAUGGCAGGGAGAUUGGACAGGAGGACUUAGGUCUGAAAGAUGAGUCAUAAGUUACAGGCAAAAUGGAAAGGCCAACUGGAGGAAGAUGGAAAUAUUGUUGGUGACACCCAGGGGUAUUUGUAGAGGUGUGGCCUUGUUCAGAGGUGUCCUGAAGGUCAGAGCUGUGGGGCAUCAGGAGGGAGGUGUCCAUUUGGCAGCUACAUACAAGAACCUAGAAUUUAGGAGAUGCACAUCCAGGAUGAAGCUUUGGAAGUCAAGAAAGGGUGCCCAAGACACCAGGAGAGGCUGAGAUCCCCCAGAAGAGGAACAAAAACAGGAGCCAUUUUGGCAUGGAGAGAGAUGGAGGGCGGGAAAGGGAGAUAGUCAGAAUCGGGGGAGGAAGGUGAGAGAGGAAAGCAGAAUCCAAGAAAAGCCUUCCCUGGGAAGCACAGACGUGGCCUUGGGGCCUGGGGCUGAGAAGCCGGUCAGGAAGGGGCAGGCGGACACGGGGCCUCGGGGCCUGGGGCUGAGAAGCCGGUCAGGAAGGGGCAGGCAGACACUGCCUCUGCUGGUUGUGGGUUCAGGGCUGACGUGGCUGUGACGCACUCUGCUCAGGGUUCAGCGGGUCCUGGGUGCAGUGGUGGAGCUGUCACUGCUCACAUCCUCAUGGAACCACGUGCCAGUGACGGGGAUAGAUUUGCAGCCAGCAGCACAGCCAGACACGAGGGGCUGAGGAGGAGUCAGCAGACCAUGUAUUUGUUGUUGUUCUAAGAAACCUUUUCACUCGUCCUGCUUUGGUGACAUUCUCUCUUGAGGUGAAGCUUUAGGAAAACAGGGUCCAAGAUGGACAAACAGGAUGCUUUACGGAAUGGUCAGUGUUUUUCCAGCAUGGCCCCACCCCUGCUGGGAUGGUCCGCGGCCAUUGUGAAAAACAAGUGAGUUGGAAACUCACCCAGUUCCCAGUCAGCCCAGAGUCAGGGAAUAAAUGGACAACCAGAGAGAGCCAGAGUCGCUACAGCCAGCCUGGCAGUGCAAGCCCGGAGCUGACACAGGGCCACAGCCACGAUGCAGCCACUAAUGCGGACCCUUGGGCUGAGCCUGCUUUCCAUGCUGUGAGCCCAGGGGACCCAGAUGGUUCCUGUCCCCGCUGAGAAGGUGGAAGGACUGUGGCACGCCCUGCGCUGGGAGCAGGACAGGGAGCUACUUAAAGAGGAGACGGCUCACCCUCUGCCACCAUUCUGGAUCCAGCGUUUCCAGGGUAACUUUAUGUUAAAAAUGAAUGUAAGGUGAGUGCCUGGUGGGGACACGUGGGGUGAGCGAGGGAGCUUCUCAGGCUCUCGCUGCCAUCCAGGCCCUGGGCUGAUGGAAAGGAGGUCACUGGCCACUCUUCUUCACCAGGCUGCAGCCACUUUGGAGUCCACCUUUCCGGCUUCUAACAGUUUCAGUCAGCAGGUCCCUUUUUAACUGGAUCAUGUGCUGAAGAACGCCACACACGGAGGGCUUGCUCAGGCUCUGGGCUCAGCCCAGGACCUUCCUGCCCCAAGCACCUCACCACAAUCUCUCACAGGCACUUCUGUAAGAUGGGACAGUCCAGUUGCAGGAAAAUGAGCUCAGGGCUCCCACCGAUUCUACACUAUGGGAUCCCACUGGGAACUGCACAGUAUUUAAGACACUGCUGGUGAAAACAGACAACUCUACCACGUACAGAAUCUAUUCCUGCGUGGUCGGCUGUAACUGAGGUGAGUGCCACAAGGCCUCUGCGUGUGUUCAGAGUGUCCACACCAGACUCCGGCCGGACUCAUGGGCCCUGGGACUCCGCAGCCCUCGACCUUGGCAGCCUCCUUGCCUGUGGGUGCUUGAAUGCCACGCAGCAUCCGACACAUCCCACAACCUUGAGUCUGCUAUGAGUCAAGUGUGGUCGCUGUAGAUAAGGAGGAAAAAAGAUCAUGAAAAAGAACAACAACAACAAAAAAUCACUCAUGGCCGGGCGCGGUGGCUCAUGCCUGUAAUCCCAGCACUUUGGGAGGCCAAGGCAGGCAGAACACGAGGUCAAGAGAUCAAAACCAUCCUGGCUAACACGGUGAAACCCUGUCUCUACUAAAAAUACAAAAUAUUAGUCAGGUGUGGCGGCAGGCGCCUAUAAUCCCAGCUACUCGGGAGGCUGAGGCAGGAGAAUGGCGUGAACCCAGGAGGUGGAGCUUGCAGUGAGCCGAGAUCGCGCCACUGCACUCCAGCCUGGGCAACAGAGCAAGACUCCAUUUCAAAAACAAACAAACAAAAAUCACUCCUAAGCUCACCACCCAGGCCAAUGUACUCCAGAAAAAGGGAGAAGGCUUCACCACCUCCCUGUGUGAUUUCAUGUCCCAAGCUCUGUGUCUCAGGGUGUAGGAAGCCCUCUGUUGAAUAAGUCCACCCUCCCUGGCCACAGCCUUAGUCCUACUUGCUGUUUGGGAACAGAAGAUCCCUGCCCGGUGCCUACAGAGGGGUGGGCAGAGGCUGAAACCCUCCUCCAUCUUCCCUCCCAGGCCCCAGGAGCCGAAGAUUCCUCUUCUCACGACAUGAAGCUCCCCUCCCCUCCUCCAGUCCUCAGCUUUCCUUUCUAAGAGAGAAGAGACCGGGGCCUGGGCAGUGAGUGGACAGGACUGUCCCCCUGUCCUCCUCUGUAGGUGCACGCCCCUACAGGUGACACCUCUGGGUCCUCCACACCCUCAGUAGGAGCUCCAGGGCAUGGCUGGUCUCCCAGCCACACGGGAAGCCACAGGAUCCCCAUGGGACAUCCCCAGCCACGUGCCACACUCAGUAACCACCCGUGGGCUUGUGUGCAAAUCCCUGAAGUCAGUGAUGGCUCAAAUGUCGUCUCUGCCACCGUGGAGGUUGGCCAUGGGGGAAAGGUGACGGGGGCAGAAGGGUGAGGGCUCCAAGUGGCUCGAGGAAGGGGCCAUGGUGUGAGCAGGGGCACGGGCGGGCAGUCAAGGAGCUGGGAAGGGCCAGCCAGUCCUGCCCUGGAGCCUCCGGGAGGAGCCAGCGCUGCGGACACCUUGGCUGUAGCCAGGGAGGCUCACUUUGGACUUCCAACCUCCACACCUGUCAGAGGCCACGAGUGUUUAGCCAUUAAAGAAACCUCCAGGGGCUGCGGUGACAAAUGACCACAGACUCAGGAGCUGAACACAACGCACAUGCAUUGUCUCACAAUUCUGGAGUCAAAAGUCUAGAAACAGUCGGUGGGGCUGGUUCCUUCUGGAGACUUCUGGGAAGGGGAGAAGCCGCUUUCUUGGCUUUCCCAGUUUCUGGAGUGGCUGCAUCCUGCACUCUCGGCCCCGCCAUGCCACCAAGGCCUCCGUUUCUGUAGCCUCUGCUGCUCUCUGGCAUCUGCACGGUUGCCCCGAAGCCGCUCCGCGACGGCCCUCCCUGAGCUGUGUAGCGCUGGGGGGAGGAGGCGUGGCCACAGUGGGCUGCAUUCAGGAUCUUGAAAGCCACUGAAGCCAUGGCUGGCUCUCAGUCCUCAGGGAGCCUCUUCCCCUGCCUGGCACCAGGCUCCCAGAAUCUGGGAGGCAGCCUCUUCAUCUGGCUGCUGGUGGAGACCUGAGCCCAGCCCCAGGGUCCUCAGUCCUGCCCCUUGUCCUCCGCAAGCUCUCACUACAUCCUACCUAUGUCCAGGGACCUCGGCCCAUGCAUCUGCCCAGAUCCCAGCCUACCCGAGAGCAUGCAUCCCCAACUGGACCAGCACCCAACACAGCCCAGGGCUCCCCUGACCCACAUAAACCUUGUUAAUAUUGCCUCUGUGGUCUCUGCUUGUUGCCUGAGGGGUGGAGGUGGGGGGUAUCUGCUCAGACUGGCUCCAGCGCGUCCUAAGGCCAGGCCCUUCCCAAAGGAGAGUGAAGCCAGGCCCCAUGAGUCCCAGCUGGACAGGAAG